rnacentral:siRNA from 1 species
AUGGCCUGCACAAAUCUACCCC